AUGUUCCGAUUAAUGCGCGUCCUUUUCAGCACGGCGAAGAGCGGAGCGGCCGGAAGGGCAGGAAGCCCGUCACGCCCCCUCUCCGCUUCCUCUGACUCACGGAGGUUGGCCGGGAAGGUGGCCGUGAUCACCGGCGCGGCGAGCGGCAUCGGGAAGGUGACCGCCGCCGAGUUCGUACGGAACGGCGCCAAGGUCGUGCUCGCCGACGUCCAGGACAGCCUGGGCCGCGCCGUGGCCGCCGAGCUCGGCGACCCGGACACGGCCUGUUACACCCGCUGCGACGUCACGGACGAGGGGCAGGUGGCGGCCGCCGUGGACCUCGCCGUGGCGCGGCACGGCCGGCUCGACGUCAUGUUCAACAACGCCGGGAUCACGGGCGGCAACUACGCGGGCUCCCCCAUCGAGUCCCUGGACAUGGCCGACUUCGACCGCGUCAUGGCCGUCAACCUCCGCGGCGUGGCCGCCGGCAUCAAGCACGCGGCGCGCGUCAUGGUCCCGCGCGGCGCGGGGUGCAUCCUCUGCACGUCCAGCACGACGGGCGCGCUGGGCGGGUCGGGCCCCCACGCGUACAGCGUCUCCAAGAUGGCCGUCGUCGGCAUGGUGCGGUCCGCGGCGGCGGAGCUGGCGGCGCGCGGCGUGAGGGUGAACGCCAUCUCGCCGUACGCCAUCGCGACGCCCAUGGGGGCGCGCUCCGCGAGGGAGAUGCUAGGCCUCCCGCCGGGGGGCGCCGGCGACGAGGAGUUGAUCAGGCGGCUGUUCGACGAGGACAUCAACGAGAUGGGCGGCGGCGUGGUGCUGCGCGCGGAGGACGUUGCGAGGGCGGCGGUGUUCCUGACGUCCGAGGAUGCCAGGUACAUCACCGGGCAUAAUCUCAUGGUCGACGGCGGGUUCUCCGUCGUGAAGCCGCUCAACGUCCCGGCCUGUUGA
rnacentral:rRNA from 1 species